AAUCAGUGACCUUUGAGGACGUGUUUGUAGAACUCACUCAUAAACACUGGGACCUGCUGGACACAUUGCAGUGAAAGAUGCACACUGAUAUGAUGCUGGAGGACGUCCCUUGUCUCAUCUGGCAAAAAUUGUGACCAUUAAAAGCAAGAAAUGAUGUCCAGGCACGUUAUUUUCCUGGUGGACCAAUGUAGCUCUAAGAAAAUAGAAAAUUUCUUCAGGUGUGAACCCUGGGCAUCCACAUGUGAAACCUGGUAAUGAGAUCUAUCCAAAUGGAGGAAAAACCACUGGAAUGGAUCUGGAUGGCACGGAAGAGAAGGUGCGCCCCAACUCCUCUGCAUUCGCUGGCUCCACCACAGGUCCCAUUUCUCUCUCCGGGUUGUCCCCCGUCCACACGCG